CCUCGCGGGAGCAGCGCCCGCCGGCCCGCGGAUGCUCUGAGCGCCCCCGGCGCCCCCGCCUCCCGGGAAGAAGCGGCAGCCCCUCCCCGGGCUCCGCUAGGGCGCUCAGGCGGCCGCCGCGGCCACCUCCCCAUCGCUAGGACCCCGGCCGGCCACGGAGCAGGGGGCCUUCGGGGGCCGGACGUGGUCGCGCGAGACUUGGGCGCUCGCAGAGCCCCGGAGGGGCCGGCCGUGCGGGGCCGCCCUGGCUCUCCCGCCCUUCGCGCUGUCCCGCUGCGCGCCGCCGCCCCCAGGUUGCGGACCGUCGGGCCGCUGCUCCCGCGCAGAGCCGGUCCCCAGGUUAGGCGGACGACGGGCAGGGCUCCCGGGAGAGGGCACCCGGUGUUCGGAGACGGCCCACGCGGAGUCGCCGAGUGUCGGGCCGGCGGAAGCCCUGGGAAGGGCCCCGACGGGACCUCGACGGCCUCACCUGCUGCGGGUCCGCUCGGGACGGCCCGUCCCCGUCUGCCGCUGCCCGCUGUGCGCGCACACCCUCCCCAAGAUCCAACCCAGUUGUGUCAGAGUUCCCCAAGACUAGCCUCUCAUUUAUUGAUUUGCCAGGACAUGAUGUGA
rnacentral:lncRNA from 1 species